GAAGAAUAGAAGUCGAAGCUACUUUGUAGCCUGGACUCGAAGACACGGCAGCUUUGCGUUGAGGAAAGGACUGACUAAAUAUACAGAGGCAGCUGCUUGACAGAGGGGUGACACUGCCAAGGAGUACUCUGUGGCUGUCACGUACUGUGCUGCUGGACUAAAACCCUUAAAGACUGGAACUCCCACCCGCCCAACCUUCACUGUUGGAUCAGUGCCAGCUGAGCAAGAGGGAUCACCAGGGUUCAAAGGGGCAGAUACAAUGGUUGCAGCACCGGGUCCAAUGGUGUAGGUGGUUCCGUACAGACUACGCAGAGCUGCAGCAGCUUCUUUACCAAGCUUCAGCUACAAUACAGAGAAGAAACAAAAUAGGUGAUGGUGACUGACCAGCUCACUGUGGUCUGCGGCCAGGUCAAAGGUGUAGGAGUAGGGGAAGAGCACCAACUGGGAGUA